rnacentral:rRNA from 1 species
AAUGAACGCUGGCGGCAGGCCUAAAACAUGCAAGUCGAACGCCCUAGCAAUAGGGAGUGGCGCACGGGUGAGUAACAUGUGGGAGUAUGCCUUUUGGUACGGAACAACGUUUGGAAACGAACGCUAAUACCGUAUGGUCCCUCCGGGGUAAAGAUUUAUCGCCAAAAGAUUAGCCCGCACUAGAUUAGCUAGUUGGUAAGGUAAUGGCUUACCAAGGCGACGAUCUAUAGCUGUUCUGAGAGGAAGAUCAGCCGCACUGGGACUGAGACACGGCCCAGACUCCUACGGGAGGCAGCAGUUAGGAAUAUUGGACAAUGGGCGCAAGCCUGAUCCAGCCAUGCCGCGUGAGUGAUGAAGGCCUUCGGGUUGUAACGCUCUUUAGCCGACGAAUAUAAUGACUGUAGCCGGAGAAGAAGCCCCGGCUAACUUCGUGCCAGCCGCCGCGGUAACAC